UGGUUUCAGUUCACUGUGUACUAUACCGUGC
rnacentral:piRNA from 1 species